rnacentral:rRNA from 1 species
GUUCCCUACGGGGGGCAGCAGUCGGGAAUAUUGCGCAAUGGAGGAAACUCUGACGCAGUGACGCCGCGUAUAGGAAGAAGGUCUUCGGAUUGUAAACUAUUGUCGUUAGGGAAGAGAAAGGACAGUACCUAAGGAGGAAGCUCCGGCUAACUACGUGCCAGCAGCCGCGGUAAUACGUAGGGAGCGAGCGUUAUCCGGAUUUAUUGGGUGUAAAGGGAACGCAGGCGGUCUUUUAAGUCUGAUGUGAAAGCCUUCGGCUUAACCGGAGUAGUGCAUUGGAAACUGGGAGACUUGAGUGCAGAAGG